AAAGGAAUUGACGGGAGCCCGCACAAGCAGUGGAGUAUGUGGUUUAAUUCGACGCAACGCGAAGAACCUUACCGAAGCUUGACAUCCCAGGAAGACUGCUGUAAUGGCGGUUGUGCCCUUCGGGGAACCUGGUGACAGGUGGUGCAUGGUUGUCGUCAGCUCGUGUCGUGAGAUGUUGGGUUAAGUCCCGCAACGAGCGCAACCCUUACGGUUAAUUACUACGCAAGAGUACCUUAACCGGACUGCCGUUGACAAAACGGAGGAAGGUGGGGACGACGUCAAAUCAUCAUGCCCCUUACGCUUCGGGCUACACACGUACUACAAUGGCGAGAACAAAGGGAAGCAAUCCCGCGAGGGGGAGCAAAUCCCAUAAAAAUCGUCCCAGUUCGGACUGCAGGCUGCAACUCGCCUGCACGAAGUUGGAAUUGCUAGUAAUCGCGAAUCAGCAUGUCGCGGUGAAUACGUUCCCGGGCUUUGUACACACCGCCCGU
rnacentral:rRNA from 1 species